GUGUCAGCAGCCGCGGUAAUACGGAGAGUGCAAGCAUUAAUCGGAAUUAUUGGGCGUAAAGGGCGCGUAGGCGGGAUGAUAAGUCAGAUGUGAAAUUCUGAAGCUCAACUUCAGAGCUGCAUUUGAAACUAUAAUUCUCGAGGAUUGACGGAGAAAACGGAAUUCCACGUGUAGCGGUGAAAUGCGUAGAUAUGUGGAAGAACACCUGUGGCGAAAGCGGUUUUCUAGUUUAUACCUGACGCUGAGGCGCGAGAGCAAGGGGAGCAAACAGGAUUAGAUACCCUGGUAGUCC
rnacentral:rRNA from 1 species